GUGCUUGCUCAGGCAGGACACAUGAAAAAUUUGAAUCAAUACAGAGAAGAUUAGCCUGGCCCCUCCGAAAGGAUGACACACGCCAAAAUGUUGUGCAAAGCAGCAAU